AUGAUGAAGAAAAGAGUUAGCA
rnacentral:snRNA from 1 species